GAUAUAUCAAGAACAUUUCUUCUCACAAACUCAAUUUCUUCUUACACUCAAUUCCUCUCUCUCUUCUUCUUUAAUUCUCACACAAAACCAAGAAACCAUGAAAUCCGACAGAGAGGAGGAGAAAGAGAAAGAGAACGAUCACUGCAUCAGUUCUCAUAUGCAGACCCUUCAUCGCCGUCUUCUCCACGCCUUAAACCUUGGCACCAGAUCUCAACUUGCACCCCCAUCCCACCCAGUCACUUCCCUCCAGGUCCUUAUUCCGUGAAAUUUUCUUUAAAUUUUCUAUCUUUUUUACUUCCGACAUAGUGGGCACCCUUCUACCCAUCAUUUAAUUUUCUAUCUCGUUGGUUCAAAGUGAUUGAACUGUGUUUUUCGUUUCAUGGGUUUUUCUUUUGGUUCUGGGUCUGAGACCACGGUGUCCCCUAACCCAUUGGUCAGAGAAUUAUCUGCUCGGGGUGUGUGGUGUGUGGCUGCUGCUGUCACAAAAGAAUUUUGCACAUGACAUUUUGAUGAGAAGACAAAUAGAUGGAAAAAUGUGCUAUGAUCAAUUGGUGCGCUCUUGAUUCAUUAUCAGGAGAUGCACAUGCAGCACGUCAUGCUAUUGUUAAGGAACCUGUUGCCGAUAUUUUGGGAGCGCAUUAUUAUGGGUUCUUCAAUGCAAAAGUGAGGCUUUGUUAAGCAUGGCAUCAGAUGUGGCAGUAAAGAAGUUGCAACACCCUGUGCUAAUGCUUUGAAUUUGGUAAUCUCAAAUUUGAGUGCUACAAGUGAGAAGGCAGUUAUGGAAGCUUUGAAAGAAACAGAGACUUCCAUGCGUAUUGUUGGAAAUAGAAAAGAUUUUGCUGAAGGUGCAAAAAAAAUUGAAUAUUUUGAAGAGACGACUUUGCUUUUGAGCACAAUACUGUGGCGCUGGCCUCCUUCUAGGUUCCCUGUUGGAAAUUAUGUUAUACUUAUGAAAGUCUUAGCAAACAUCCAUACAAGGACAGAUAGUUCUAUUAAACUUACACUUUUAAAGCUCUUUAUGUGAUUCUGUAGCUAGAAAACGUAUAGAGGAUGGAGAAGUAUUUCCACAAAUGUUUGUGCAGGCGAUGGGAAAAUCAGACCCCCAUUCUGUUCGAAUAGAGGGGUUUAGGCUUGCUCAAUGUCUAUUGAGAUCCCAAGAGAAUUGUUUAAAAGUGGUUGGUUUGUGUGGUGAAGCUCUUGUUGAUGCAAUAAUUUGUGGGAUGAAAGAAACUGGGCUGAGUUCUAAAUAAAUUGGGAACAACCAUGGGUCUUUGUCAGGGGAAGCAUGCCAGUCAGCUCUAAUUACUCGCUGGGCGGGUGAUCAUCAUAUCAAGUUUUGGAAACAAGGAAUUGAUAGAAUUCUCCUUAAUCCUCCUGAUUGAAAAUAUUCAAGACCAAUUGUCUAAACCUGUCUUGUCAUUGAAAAAACAAAUAUCCAUGGUAAAAGAGGGAUUAAAAGCCAAUUAUCAUCUUGGUCUUGGGAGUUAUCUAUGAGACAUUCUUGGGUGGCUUACUAUUCACUGUGGAGAAAAUUUAAACCCUCAUACUCAUGGAACUUGAGUUUUGUGGAUACACUUGAAAAAUGGUGCCGAAUAUGUCAAAAGGAUAUUGCUGAUCCUUUUCAAGGCGAACCAGUAUCAAGGGCUGUUCUCGUGAUGAUUCAUUCUCCACGUAAUUCUAUCUCCUCGCAUGCUAGAUUCUUAUUAUUAGAUGUACUGAAUGCGAAAGGCUUGUCAUGCUUGAAAAGCUUAAUUUAAUACGUACUCUGGAUUAUACAUCA